UACGUAGGGGGCGAGCGUUGUCCGGAUUUAUUGGGCGUAAAGAGCUCGUAGGCGGUUCGGUAAGUCAGGUGUGAAACCUCCAGGCUCAACCUGGAGACGCCACCUGAUACUGCUGUGACUCGAGUCCGGUAGGGGAGCGUGGAAUUCCUGGUGUAGCGGUGAAAUGCGCAGAUAUCAGGAGGAACACCAGCGGCGAAGGCGGCGCUCUGGGCCGGAACUGACGCUGAGGAGCGAAAGCGUGGGUAGCAAACAGG
rnacentral:rRNA from 1 species